CCUACGGGAGGCAGCAGUGCGGAAUAUUGGUCAAUGGACGAGAGUCUGAACCAGCCAAGUAGCGUGAAGGAUGACUGCCCUAUGGGUUGUAAACUUCUUUUAUAUGGGAAUAAAAUGUUCCACGUGUGGGAUUUUGUAUGUACCAUAUGAAUAAGGAUCGGCUAACUCCGUGCCAGCAGCCGCGGUAAUACGGAGGAUCCGAGCGUUAUCCGGAUUUAUUGGGUUUAAAGGGAGCGUAGGUGGAUUGUUAAGUCAGUUGUGAAAGUUUGCGGCUCAACCGUAAAAUUGCAGUUGAAACUGGCAGUCUUGAGUACAGUAGAGGUGGGUGGAAUUCGUGGUGUAGCGGUGAAAUGCUUAGAUAUCACGAAGAACUCCGAUUGCGAAGGCAGUUCACUGGACUGCAACUGACACUGAGGCUCGAAAGUGUGGGUAUCAAACAGGAUUAGAUACCCGAGUAGUC
rnacentral:rRNA from 1 species